ACCUGACUGGCUCAAUCAUUAGAGCAUGAGACUCUUGAUCUCACGGUCACGAGUUUGAACCCCAUGUUGGGCA
rnacentral:tRNA from 1 species